rnacentral:rRNA from 1 species
UACGAAGGGGGCAAGCGUUGUUCGGAAUUACUGGGCGUAAAGGGCGCGCAGGCGGCCGUUCAAGUCAGAUGUGAAAGCCCCGGGCUCAACCUGGGAAUAGCAUUUGGGACUGGAUGGCUAGAGUUCGGGAGAGGAGAGUGGAAUUCCCAGUGUAGAGGUGAAAUUCGUAGAUAUUGGGAAGAACACCAGUGGCGAAGGCGGCUCACUGGCUCGUAACUGACGCUCAGGCGCGACAGCGUGGGGAUCAAACAGG